AUUGAACGCUGGCGGCAGGCCUAACACAUGCAAGUCGAGCGGAUGAAGGGAGCUUGCUCCUGGAUUCAGCGGCGGACGGGUGAGUAAUGCCUAGGAAUCUGCCUGGUAGUGGGGGAUAACGUCCGGAAACGGGCGCUAAUACCGCAUACGUCCUGAGGGAGAAAGUGGGGGAUCUUCGGACCUCACGCUAUCAGAUGAGCCUAGGUCGGAUUAGCUAGUUGGUGGGGUAAAGGCCUACCAAGGCGACGAUCCGUAACUGGUCUGAGAGGAUGAUCAGUCACACUGGAAGGGAGACAGGUUCAGACCUCCUAGGGAGGGAGCCGGUGGGAAAAUUUGGACAGUGGGGGAAACCCGAUCCAAGCAAGCCCCGGGGUGGAAGAAGGUUUUUGGGUUUGUAAAGCCCUUUAAUUGGGAGGGAAGGGCGUUAGUUUAUAACCUGCCGUUUUGACGUUACCAACAGAAUAAGCACCGGCUAACUUCGUG
rnacentral:rRNA from 1 species